rnacentral:rRNA from 1 species
ACAAUGAAGAGUUUGAUCCUGGCUCAGGAUGAACGCUAGCGGCAGGCUUAACACAUGCAAGUCGAGGGGCAGCGGUAUGUAGCAAUACAUAGCCGGCGACCGGCGCAAGGGUGCGUAACGCGUGAGCAACAUGCCCGUCACAGGAGGAUAAUCCAUGGAAACGUGGUCUAAUACUCCAUAGUAUCUUGGAGAGGCAUCUUUUUGAGAUUAAAGCUUCGGUGGUGACGGAUUGGCUCGCGUGACAUUAGCUAGAUGGAGAGGUAACGGCUCACCAUGGCGACGAUGUCUAGGGGAACUGAGAGGUUUAUCCCCCACACUGGUACUGAGACACGGACCAGACUCCUACGGGAGGCAGCAGUGAGGAAUAUUGGACAAUGGAUGGAAAUCUGAUCCAGCCAUGCCGCGUGCAGGACGACGGCCCUAUGGGUCUUAAACUGCUUUUGUACGGGAGCAAUAAGCUCUACGCGUAGAGUGAUGAGAGUACCGUACGAAUAAGCAUC